rnacentral:rRNA from 1 species
AAAAGAACUUUGAAAAGAGAGUUAAAAAGUGCGUGAAACCGCUGGAAUGGAAGCGAAUGGAGUUCGCAACACGCCUUGUCGCGCUCUGCUUCGAUCUUUUCAGACGAGCCUUGUGCGGUCGCGUGACGUGGGCGGUGCACUUCCGGCCGGCAAAAGUCAACGUCGGUUUGCCGCGAGUUAAAAAGCUGCGAGCACGGUAGGUCCUUCCGGAUCGGUAAGGCUUGUAUGCACAUGACUCGCUGCAGACCGAGUUCUGCCGCAGCGCGUACCUGCAGGCUGCUGUCUUCAUCGUUGAAUCGGUAUCACGUCACUCGACGGACGGCUUCGCCUGUGCGUCGGCGUGCGGCCGUUCAAACGAUGAGCCUAACAGACACGACGCGCUGAGGACGUUGACCGCCCGGCGACUCCAUCCGACCCGUCUUGAAACACGGACCAAGGAGUCUAACAUGUACGCAAGUCUCAGAGCGAUCGAAACUCGUUGGGCGUAAUGAAAGUGAACGCAGCCUCGGCUGYGGAGAUGAGAGGCUGAGCAGCGGCAUCAUCGACCGACCUAUUCUACUCUUAGAAAGGUUUGAGUUAGAGCGUACCUGUCGGGACCCGAAAGAUGGUGAACUAUGCCUGAAUAGGGCGAAGCCAGCGGAAACACUGGUGGAAGCCCGUAGCGAUUCUGACGUGCAAAUCGAUCGUCGAAUUUGGGUAUAGCGGCGAAAGACUAAUCGAACCAUCUAGUAGCUGGUUCCCUCCGAAGUUUCUCACAGGAUAGCUGGAACUCGGUGGCAGUUU